rnacentral:rRNA from 1 species
AUUGAACGCUGGCGGCAGGCCUAACACAUGCAAGUCGAGCGGAGCGGCGGACGGGGAAGUAAUGCCUAGGAAUCUGCCUGUUAGUGGGGUAUAACUUCGGGAAGGAGACCCUUAUACCGCAUGCUAUCAGAUCAGCCUAGGUCGUCUUAGCUAGUUGGUGGGGUAAAGGCCUACCAAGGCGACGAUCCGUAACUGGUCUGAGAGGAUGAUCAGUCACACUGGAACUGAGACACGGUCCAGACUCCUACGGGAGGCAGCAGUGGGGAAUAUUGGACAAUGGGCGAAAGCCUGAUCCAGCCAUGCCGCGUGUGUGAAGAAGGUCUUCGGAUCGUAAAGCACUUUAAGUUGGGAGGCGUUACCAACAGAAUAAGCACCGGCUAACUUCGUGCCAGCAGCCGCGGUAAUAC